rnacentral:rRNA from 1 species
UACAGAGACUGCAAGCGUUGUUCGGAUUUACUGGGCGUAAAGGGCGCGUAGGCGGCCACCGCAAGUCGACUGUGAAAUCUCCGGGCUUAACCCGGAAAGGUCAGCCGAUACUGCGGGGCUAGAGUGCAGAAGGGGCAACUGGAAUUCUCGGUGUAGCGGUGAAAUGCGUAGAUAUCGAGAGGAACACCUGCGGCGAAGGCGGGUUGCUGGGCUGACACUGACGCUGAGGCGCGAAAGCUAGGGGAGCGAACGGG